rnacentral:rRNA from 1 species
ACGGAGGAUGCAAGCGUUAUCCGGAAUGAUUGGGCGUAAAGCGUCCGCAGGUGGCGAUGUAAGUCUGCUGUUAAAGAGUGAGGCUCAACCUCAUAAGAGCAGUGGAAACUACAUAGCUAGAGUGCGGUAGGGGCAGAGGGAAUUCCUGGUGUAGCGGUGAAAUGCGUAGAUAUCGGGAGGAACACCUGAGGCGAAGGCGGGCUACUGGGCCGAUACUGACGCUGAUGUGCGAAAGCCAGGGGAGCGAACGGGA